rnacentral:rRNA from 1 species
UACGAAGGGGGCGAGCGUUGUUCGGAUUUACUGGGCGUAAAGGGCGCGUAGGCGGUUUGGCAAGUCGGGUGUGAAACCUCCAGGCUCAACCUGGAGACGCCACUCGAUACUGCUAUGACUUGAGUCUGGUAGGGGAUCACGGAAUUCCUGGUGUAGCGGUGAAAUGCAUAGAUAUCAGGAGGAACACCGGUGGCGAAGGCGGUGAUCUGGGCCAGUACUGACGCUGAGGAGCGAAAGCGUGGGGAGCGAACAGG